ACUCAAAGGAAUAGACGGGGGCCCGCACAAGCGGUGGAGCAUGUGGUUUAAUUCGACGCAACGCGAAGAACCUUACCUAGGCUUGACAUGCAUGGGAAAGCUCUGAGAAACCAGGGCCCCUCUUCGGAGUCCAUGCACAGGUGCUGCAUGGCUGUCGUCAGCUCGUGUCGUGAGAUGUUGGGUUAAGUCCCGCAACGAGCGCAACCCCCGUUCCUAGUUGCCAGCGAGUCAAGUCGGGGACUCUAGGAAGACUGCCGGUGCCAAACCGGAGGAAGGUGGGGAUGACGUCAAGUCAUCAUGGUCCUUACGUCUAGGGCUACACACGUGCUACAAUGGCCGGUACAGAGGGAUGCAAGCGUGCGAACGUGAGCCAAUCCCAGAAAGCCGGCCUCAGUGCGGAUUGGAGGCUGCAACUCGCCUCCAUGAAGCUGGAAUCGCUAGUAAUCGUGGAUCAGCUACGCCACGGUGAAUACGUUCCCGGGCCUUGUACACACCGCCCGU
rnacentral:rRNA from 1 species